rnacentral:misc_RNA from 1 species
GGCAAGGAGGUAAAAAUGUUCUGGAAA